AAUCCAUAGGUUAAUGAGGCGAACCGGGGGAACUGAAACAUCUAAGUACCCCGAGGAAAAGAAAUCAACCGAGAUUCCCCCAGUAGCGGCGAGCGAACGGGGAGGAGCCCAGAGCCUGAAUCAGCAUGUGUGUUAGUGGAAGCGUCUGGAAAGGCGCGCGAUACAGGGUGACAGCCCCGUACACAAAAGCGCAUGUGCUGUGAGCUCGAUGAGUAGGGCGGGACACGUGGUAUCCUGUCUGAAUAUGGGGGGACCAUCCUCCAAGGCUAAAUACUCCUGACUGACCGAUAGUGAACCAGUACCGUGAGGGAAAGGCGAAAAGAACCCCGGCGAGGGGAGUGAAAAAGAACCUGAAACCGUGUACGUACAAGCAGUGGGAGCACCCUUUGGGGUGUGACUGCGUACCUUUUGUAUAAUGGGUCAGCGACUUAUAUUCUGUAGCAAGGUUAACCGUAUAGGGGAGCCGGAGGGAAACCGAGUCUUAAUUGGGC
rnacentral:rRNA from 1 species